rnacentral:lncRNA from 1 species
UCUGAUUGUUCAUAUAUUUUAUUUUUGUUUUGCAUUUACCAAUGCAUUUCUUGGCAUGUUUUGGUGCGUUCCUUCCUACGGCCAGCUCGACCAUUUGCUCCGUAGGGCAAAAGGAGCAAAUAAUAUGAGAAUGCAUUAGUCUUCUCUGCAAUUUGUUGUUCUGGUCAAUCUUUCUUGUUUUUCUACAUUUUUUUCUGCUCUUUGGUAAUGCAUUUGGAUUGUGUCUCUCUCUCAAUCUUGGGCAUAUUGGUUGUAUGGUUGACUUUUUUAGUAGCAGGGAGGUAACUAAGUAGUUCACAGGACAAGCAGUUGUAAACUUUGAUCAUUUUAUUUGUAGAGUAUAUUUUAGUGAGUAAUUCUAGGUUUUAGCUUUUUGGUAGAGAAUGUAUAGUUUUGGGAUCUAUGAUAUUAGUUAUGAGAGGAUGGUAAUCAUAUGGAUAUUGUGAUGUGAGUUAUUGGCCUCAGAAAUCGCAUUAUAUGGUUUAUUGGCCUAAUAAGCUCUCUUUGGCUGUAAAACUAAUAAGCAUGUCCAAAGGAUGGUUUUGUUUUGUUAGUUUCAUGAAAACGGUAGGAGUUUAAAUAGCAUCGAUGCUUAGUACAGAGUGAGAUUAACAAAACACUGAAUUGAAGAUCGGUUUUUCUCUUAUUUUGUCUACUCUCUGCCUCGAGAUAAGUGUGGAUUCAAUGGAUACUAACUCUGGCUGUUCGGCUAAAAAUUGGGUGCUUACAUACUCGUCGAAAUUUAGUUCUGUAAAAGAGAAAUAUUGUUAUCAUGCAAUGAUCAGUGCAGUGUAGGAUUACUACAGAGUUCUUCCUCCCUUUUCAUUGAGCAUGUUCUUUAAUUAGGUUGCAAUUGUGAAACUUGUUUUGGUUUUUUUAUUGUAUAAUAUGAAGCUUCCAAAUGGUUUGAUCAUGAAAAUAAGUUACCAAAUUUCUGUGUGCAGUGAGCUGGGAGCCAGGGUCAUAUGUGGUGUCCUUCCCUGAAUGAGCACUAUUGAGUUAUCUGCUUCCCUUGAUUAACCCUUCAUUUAGAACUACAAGACAAAGCUUGAAAAAAUUGGCCUGUUGUCUUCCUGUUCACAUAAAUCUGCAACCUGGGUGUUACUAAUGUUUCCUCAACCAACUUAUAGUCACUUUUAACUGACAAGUGUAUCAUAACAGGUAUUCUGAUCUAUCUUUUUUGUUAGUUGCAGGUUCAGAAGCGUAGUAAUGAUAUUUGCUAACAGCUAUAUGAAAAGGAGCUGUUAAUAGGUAAAUCCUACCUCCACAUAUACAGGUUUGUUUGCUAUUACUUACAAUUACUACGCUUGGUUUAUCUUUCCCCUUUCCGUAUUGUUAAUGCUUGUGGUUAUAGAUUGACAUUAUUGAAGCAAAGAUCAUUUUUACAUAAAUGUUACAGGUGGCCGCAUGUUAGUAGGCUUGCUGAUUAGGAAUCACAUAAGUAAUUAGCCUCAGUAUCCCAGCCCAAUUAUUCAAUUAAUCAGUUGUUAACAUGGAUACACCGAGCCAAAUUAUAUAUGCUAGAUCAAUUUGUGUUAUUAUUUUUAUAAUAAUCAGAUCCAAGCUUUCCCUGUUGUACUUUAGUUUACCUGUUGUUCUUUGGUUAGCUGAUAAAAUUUAUGUUGUCCUAUUGAGAUUAAAUAUCCGCACUACCCAUAUUAAAGUGUACAGGGUUAUUCCUUUUUUUCGUUUUCACUUUAGCUUCCAUGUCUUGUUUGUUUCUAAAAUUGGGUAUUGUAUGAGGUACCUGCAUUUUCCAGCUUGCUAGAUUUGUUAAACACAUAAUCAUGGAAAAUGACUGAUGAAGAAGAGUUGUUGUUUUUGAGGAGCAAGGUACACGAUAUAUAUGCAGGGCCUCAUUGGUCAAUGGCUCAAUGGAUAAAAGGCCGUGCAUGUUCUCUUUACAAAAAUAAGAGAAAACCUUCAUGUGUUCCAGAUGCUUACUCGUGGUGAUGCCAACCUUUUCGGCUUUUCCUAUUUUAGAAGUUACUGGUUCUGUCAUAUGAAUAUCACCAUUUUUAAUUCUUUCAGUUGUAGAAAACAUUACUGGAACUUGCAUGAGCUUGUAUACCAUUUUGACCUCCUCGAAUUGAACGUUUCAUCUACUGAAGCACUCUGCUUGUGUACAGUUUGUAGGAGUUUGGAGUACUCUGCGCACCUACCUGUAGCGUGCCAUCACAACCACUUGCACAACAAGAGGUUUGCGCGCCACAUGUAAACUUCCUCUCCUUCCUCCCAGUCUCUAGCCACCCAUUGAGGGCUGGCACAUCAUGCCAAGGUGGGUUUCUCUGGAUCGUUCUCCAUCCGCUUCCAGAUCUCUAAUACUCUUAUCUUUCCGCCUAUCUAUGCAAGUGUUGUGGUUCCUUUCUCAUCCUUUUCUUAAAUAAACCUCUAAUUGAGGAGAGCAUCUUCUCACAACUUGUUACUACACUUUCUGGAUGGCCUGAUCUAAUAUUUUUUUUGGAUUUCUGUCUUCGAAGUACUUGACAAAUUUAUUGUAUAGAUAAAUAUGUUGUAGAAAAUGGCAUAGCCGAAUUGCUUGAUAUGUUUAUGCAAUUAAGCUGCUAGGAUAACUUCUGUAUAGUACUUCCUGUAAGAAAAGCACAAUCAUUCUAUCAACUAUACUAAUGAAAAAUGCAUAUAAUGUACCAUGAAAAUGGGAACAGAAUGUUCAAUUACUUUUGUUAAAGUACCGAUCUUCUGUGGUUCCAGCAUACUACAGCAGAUUGAUGAUUAAAGAGUAUUAGUGUUGAUAUAGUCCUCUUGGUUUAAGAUGAAUUAUUUUGUUUCUUUAAUCUAGGAAGCUGCAAAUCCUUUUUGACUUCUGUGAUGUGGUUACCACUACAACACACAAGUAUUGUAAGUACUUCCAAGCCAUUCCGGUAAUUGUGUGAUCCAUGCCUUUCACAAGUUGCAUUCACCAACGGACAUGCCUCAUUCCAGUAAUAUGCGGCAGAAAUAAUCUGUUAUUCAAAUGUUUACUGAACUGCUCAUGCUUACACUAAACAUUUUAUAUUUAAAAAAAUGUCAUUUGUUUUGAUUUUUCAUGACUUAGUAGGGUUCAAUUUUCCAUUUGCCACCAAUAUUCUCAUGAGUUGUAUGGCUGAUACUUCAAUCAAGACCAAUUUCCCUUUCUACUUUUUUGUUGAAUGGAUAGUCUAGCUAUUUGAAGGUAUCAGUACAUAAAUUAAUUUCUAAAAUAAUUCCAAUUAGUAUUUUCUGGCAAGCAUGCACAUUAAAGUUUCACUGUCUGCAAUACAUUAUUUUUGUUGUUAUACCGCUUGGACAACCUGUAUGACUACCCAAAUUAUUCUUUGUAUACUAACUCAUAAGAUUAUCUAGCCACCCUACCAAAAUGGUUGUCUUCAUCAAAAUCUGAUUUUCCUUGUUCCUUUCUAUAUCUCAGAAUUAGUAUUGUUUUUAUUUUUGUCGAUCACCUGCCUAUUUUUAUGGAGAGGUUUGUUAUUGACCUAGGUCCAAAUGUUUCACUAUCUGUUUAUUUUCCUUGGUGCUGGGAUACGAUGAUGAGUAUGAUGAUGCCAUUGGUCCACGUGAUGAUCUUGGUGACACUCAGCUAAAUUCAUCUGUUAGCGGGAGAAAACUCGAUGAUGGUGUUCAUGAGAGCGUAGUGAAGUGAAUGUUGCCUUUGAGAGACACAUCAAAGCAAGUGGAAAUAUUAGUCCAAUUCGAUCCUAGAUGUCACACAUUGCAUGUAUGAAUCAUGGUGGAUUCUAAGAUAUGUUAUUUUGCUAUUUCACUAUAACAUAUAUGUACAUGCUAUUUAAGAUAGCCGAAAGAGGAAAUGAGAAACCUAUCGUAUUUGUUUCCAUUGCGUGUUGAUGUGUUGUUUUCAUUUUUGAAUGUCUGAUGGUUUCAGAGAGAAAUCACCCUUAAUUUUUCAUCUUAUGAUAUGCUAUCUUAGGUGCAAGUUAUUAACUAUGUUAACAUCUGUUUUAAUUUUAUAACUGAAAAUGUGGUUGAUGUGUUUGUCAAUUGACAUUCGUGAUUAUUCUUACUUUGCAC